CGGGCUAUAGCGAAGUUGGUAUCGCGCAUGCAUGGGGUGCAUGAGAUCGUGGGUUCAAGUCCCACUAGCCCGACAA
rnacentral:tRNA from 1 species